rnacentral:lncRNA from 1 species
CAUCUAAAAGUUGUCACCUUUCGUUAUAUCACUUUAUUUAAAAUGUUACCACUUUUCACAUACCGCUUUAUCUAAAAGGUUUUUUCAUAUGUUACUUCAUUUAAAAGGUUACCACUCUUCACAUGUCACUUUAUCUAAAAGUUGUCACUUUUUGUGAUGUCACUUCAUCUAAAAUUUACCACUUUUCACACAUCAAUUCAUCUAAAAGUGGUCACUUUUCGUUAUAUCAUUUUAUCUAAAAGUUAUUAC